CCCAGCUGAUUUUUGUACUUUUAGUAGAGAUGGGGUUUCACCACGUUGACCAGGCUGGUCUCAAACUCCUAACCUCAGAUGAUCUGCCCUCCUCCGCCUCCCAAAAUGCUGGGAUUACAGGCAUGAGCCACUGCUCCCAGCCCCCAAACACUUUUAAACUAUCAGAUCCUGUGAGAACUCACUUACUAUCAUGAGAGCAGCAUGAGAAUCACCUCCCACCAGGUUGCUCUCUUGACACAUGGGGAUUACAAUUUGAGAUGAGAUUUGGAUGGGGACACAGAGCCAAACACAAUUCGAGAUGAGAUUUGCUUGGGGACACAGAGCCAAACCAUCUCAUUGUCUGUGUGCUGUUGUGUUUUUGUUCUGGCACUUGGAGAAAACAGCACUGUUUACCUCCGUGGUAAGAUCCCUCCAAAGGUAAACUGUGGCUGUAUGCCUGGGAGGUGAGGGGUUCAAGAUUAAGUUUCCAUAUUCAUUUAACUGAUCAGAUUUUUGUGUUUAGUUUUGUUUUUAUUUUUCAGAGACAGGCUCUUGCUGUCACUCAGGCUGGAACUAAAGGCACAUACCAUCAUGCCUGGCUCAUCUUUUUUUUUUAUUUUUGUAGAGACAGGAUCUUGUUAUGUUGCCCAGGCUGGUCUUGGACUGAUCCUCCCACCUCAACCUCCCAAAGUGAUGAUAUUACAGGUGUGAGCCACCACAUCUGGCCUCUAAUCAGGUUUUUUUUUUUUUUUUUCCUACCAGUUAGAAACAAUAACUUCUCUCUUGGGGUGAUGACUUUCUAUUGAAACACAUUUUCAUAGAAUAAGAUUUUUUUUUCCCCCAAAAGUCAGUAUUUCUUAAAACUCCUUUUAUUAGACCGUGAAUAUUUUUCUCAUUGUGAACAAAACGCCACUUUGUAACACUGCCUCUGAGUACAGUGGGGAGCAAGACUUUAAAAAACUGUUGCUAGCUUUACGACAUCUGCAGAAUUAUUAGAAUUCACCAUGGAGGUCUGUUUGGUGUUGCAGUUAAAAAUAUUAUCCACGAAGAAGUUGAAAAAUAUGAAAAGCAGUAUCGAGGCAAGGAGCUUCUGGGAUUUGUCAACUACAAGACAUUUGAGUUCAUCGUGCAUCAGUACAUCCAGCAGCUGGUGGAGCCCGCCCUUAGCAUGCUCCAGAAAGCCGUGGAAAUUAUCCGGCAAGCUUUCAUUAACAUGGCCAAAAAACAUUUUGGCGAAUUUUUCAACCUUAACCAAACUGUUCAGGUAAGCACCCAGAGUUCACUUGCUAGUCACCUGGACCAUUGGCUGUUUAACCUUGAGAGAAGUUGGAUAUUCACUGUCAUUUGGAACCAUGAGGCCAGGGAUGCAAUGGCAGGCUGGUGGGGCUGGUGACUCCAGGAGCACCUGCCUGCCUGGCUUCUGCUCAGGAGGAGGCUUCACUCCGCAGGAGAAAUGAAAGGAGGCCCGUGCCCUGCCAUCUGUUCUGCACGACCUUACGCAGGACGUGGGGCUCCACCGAGGACUGGCUGGUAGGCUGAAUCUUUUUCAAGCAUAAAGCACGGCAUUGUUUACUAGUCCUACUCUCAAAUGUGUAUGUUUGACUCAAAGAUGUUGCCAUAGCUCUGUGGGUUUCUACUUAGCAACUCUUCCCCCGAGUUACCUUCAGCAAAGGCAAGAGAGGGCAUGUGCCACUUGGGCUAUAGAUAAAAUUCCUCUUCUGCCCAGGCCUGGGCUGGUGGAUUGAAAUCUCAUUCCAUAGUGCAGGCAAGCAAGAAGGACAAUUUCUGUCAUUUUUCCAUCAUGUAAAUUAAUUUCUUCUUUCACCCUUUUUGCCUGUUGGUGAAAAUUAAAUCUCAGUUCUGACUCCCGCCCACUUUCUCCGGGGCUGUGUCUGAGUCCCGGGUGCCUGCUCAUGGGGUGGGUGACCUGCCUGGUCCCCAGUCACCAAGAUGUCCAUUGUCCUUCCCGGGCCUUGGUCCCCUUGGUCCCUGAGCUCCUGCCCAGCCCCGCCGGGACACAGGAAGCACUCGGCUGCAGGCCCAACUGCUCUGGGCCAUGGGAACUCUGGCAUCCACCAAGGGCCUUCACCUCUUUUGUGCUGCCCUUGGAUAGACACAGCCUUGCAGCAGCUCCCAGAUCCACACCAGGGACUGCGGGGCUCUCCAAGGCCAUGGCCUGCACACUGCCCUCAGCCACAACAGAGCCUGGGGGGCUCGCUGCCUCUUGUGUCACAGAUCUUGAGGAGUGCGGCACAAGCCACUUCUGCUCCCAGAGGGUCUACUGUCCUUUGUUGUGUCGACCAAAAAGUGACUGAGGCAGAUCUGCCUCGACCCGAGGUUUAUUUUGCCCAGGUCGAGGAUGUACCUGGGAAAAAGAAACACAAGUUCCAGUGCGAUCUGUGACCUGUGCUUUUCCUAAGAGGGUUUAGGAGAACUUCAGUAUUUAAAAAGGAAAGAGUGAGCAGGUGGGGAAGAAAGAAGGAAGGAGGGUAGGCAAUGAGGCAAUGAGGCAGAGGUCACCCUCGUGUAAGGCUCUGACCAGCACUCAGUGAAUCUGUGUGUUAUAUGUGAAAAGAAAGGCAUGGAGAGAAAGUCAAUCAUGCAUUCAUCUCGCGCUCAGUAAAUCUACAUUUUACAUCAGAUAAAGUGAGCAUGUGAAAUCACAGCUUCUGUUUGGGAACAAAAGAAAGGCAGUUAACUUUCCCUUUGGUAUAGUAAGUUUGGGGUCCCAAGAGUCUAUUUUUCUUUCACAGUUGUCACAUAUACUC
rnacentral:sRNA from 1 species